AGAAGUAUUAUUCAUUUUUAGUUCAUGUUAACAAAAGUAGUUAACUAAUGUUAACUAAUAAAACCUUAUUGUAAAGUGUUACCAUUUUUUAAAAAUGCCAUUUUGGAUGUUCUACUAUUAUUUUAUUAUGUUUUAGGUGACCAUUGCUGAUGGCGUUACAGUUAACAAAAUACAGCUUAUGCGAUGCAACCAUCAGAGACCUUCAAAACUUGUGUGUGAUCUGCUUGGGGUGAUGUUCACAAUGGAGGAGCUGUCAACACACUCCUUAACUGGAUUAAAGGGAGGUGCAUCAGAGAGUGUGAAACCUUGCUUGAAUAAGAAGCAUGUCAAUGCCAUUUUUGAGUACACUUUAAAGAAGUUUCCAUCUGCAAAUAUUAACGAGCUAAGAGUGGCAGCAAGAAAUAAAUUAAACAAUGCAAGCAAGCUGUUCAAGAAAGGAUCUUACCAAAUUCUGGAUGAGGAGUAAAGGAAGGAUGUUGGAUACAAUUUCUGACUUUUCUAUAAAUCUAUUUUAAAAUACAUUGUUUUAUUAGUUAUCUCUUUAGUGCAUUAAAUGUUAUUACUUUGGACCCCAGUAAAAGACAUUUGUUAAAUGUGUUCAAUCAGAUGGGAAAAGGUAAUAAUAAUACAACUGCCAAAUCUUUUACUGUAUGUCCUUAUAGGUUUAUUAGUCAAUUUGGGUUCAUUUUCUGCCUUUUGAUUUUAUUGGUUUGUAUCUGACAAAUUAUAUGAAUCAGAAAUAAUUAAAUAACGUGACAAGACUAAAAUACAGUAAGAAUACAAAUCCAAAUAAAAAAAUAAAACCAAACUUUUCUGGACCAAAAUUAAAAAAAAGUGUCAGGUAAGUUUUCAAUCACAUUUUCAUCUUCAAACUGUAUUUUCAACUUGUGGCUGCUGGUUCAAAUAUAAAUUCUAACUAUUACCUUAAAA